rnacentral:lncRNA from 1 species
GCCGGAUUUUGGUCCAAUCGAGCAAAUUUUGCAACAGAUUUAACAUGGUUUCGACGAUGAAAACCACCACCAAUAUCAUAAAGUCAGCUUGAGUUUGCUUUGCGGGACAAGUGGAAUAAAAUUCCUCGGGAUCACAUUAAACGUCCGGGAUGAUCAACUCCACGGCGCUGUGGAGAUUGCAAUGCACCACGGGGCUGUAACAUUUUGUGUUAGGACUGUGAGUUGAUGAUUCGACAUUGGAUGUUUCGUUUACCUAUUGCGCACGAAAGAUGACAAGGAAACAGUUUUUGU